CUGGAACAACACGCCUUUGCAAUGCAGAAAAUGCAGUCGGUGUAGUUCGUUCGUUACCGUCUAGAUGGCGGACAGGUGUAAAUGGAAGCAGUAACAGCACCAACAGUCGUAACGUUUAUAUUAGCGUUUAAUGCUACAAUGUAACCAAAAGAGUGCGACACUUUAACCGCCGGAUAUAGGAGAGGAUUACCGUUUAUUAAUAGUGCAAUCAUGCAAGCUGAAUUUUAUUUACCUACCAGGAAGCAGAGCCGGAUCCAGAAUCUACUAAUGGGCGUGAAUGUUUUUCAGAAACACCAACGUUAUAGUAUUCUACCACUGCUAUUACAAGAAUCGUCACUACACAGAGAAAAAAGGAAAUUAAUCUUUUCAUACAGUCGUUUUAAAUCGACUGAGGAACUUGACUAACAUGUUUAAAAUUAUACAUGUGGUAGGGGUAGGUGAAGAUUAAUUUUCAUUUUGGAUUGCUGCAAGUAGCUUUUGGAUAAUUCCACUACCUUAUUUCGUUCAACACAUAUUGCGGUAAAAAUACCACAGCUCAUCAACUUAAGAGGUCACAUUUCUACGUUGUCACAGUAUACAGAGCGAUCAUUAAGUAUAUCCCAUUAAAGAAAAAGGUUCUCCGGAUUUGUGUCAUAAACAGCAUGAUUUUUGAGAUACAGUGUUGAAGUUUUUGAAAAAUAUAAAACGAUGUCCGACCUAGGUUUUUCUCCUUAAUAGUAGAAAUUCACUGGGAUGUAUAGAAGUAUAUCAACCAGUGACGGGGAUGCUUACACUGAAAAAAUAUAUUUGUAUCAAAU